CUACGUGCCAGCAGCCGCGGUAAUACGGAGGGUGCGAGCGUUAAUCGGAAUAACUGGGCGUAAAGGGCACGCAGGCGGACUUUUAAGUGAGGUGUGAAAUCCCCGGGCUUAACCUGGGAAUUGCAUUUCAGACUGGGGGUCUAGAGUACUUUAGGGAGGGGUAGAAUUCCACGUGUAGCGGUGAAAUGCGUAGAUAUUAGGAAGAACACCGGUGGCGAAGGCGACAAACUGGACGAUAACUGACGUUGAGGCACGAAAGUGUGGGGAGCAAACAGGAUUAGAUACCCUGGUAGUCCACGCCGUAAACGAUGAGUGCUAAGUGUUGGAGGGUUUCCGCCCUUCAGUGCUGCAGUUAACGCAUUAAGCACUCCGCCUGGGGAGUACGACCGCAAGGUUGAAACUCAAAGGAAUUGACGGGGGCCCGCACAAGCGGUGGAGCAUGUGGUUUAAUUCGAAGCAACGCGAAGAACCUUACCAGGUCUUGACAUCCCGAUGCUAUUUCUAGA
rnacentral:rRNA from 1 species